AUUUUUAGUAAUCUCUAUACCCAACAUGGAGCUUGAACUUAUAACCCUGAUAUCAAGAGUCACAUGCUCUACCAACUGAGACAGC
rnacentral:snoRNA from 1 species